rnacentral:lncRNA from 1 species
GGAUUUUAAAUGUGGACAGGAAUUUAAAUCCUUGUUGGGCACAUAGCAGCUAUGGUACCAUGGGCAUGAUACCUAACCUCUGUAAGGUACAAUGGGGAUAAUUAUAUUCCCCUCUUAGGGAGGUCAUGAAAAUGAGUUGAGAUAAAACAUAUGAAAGCACCCAGCACUGGCAUGCUCAGUCCAUAUUAGUUUCUCAUUCUCUUCAUUAUUUUCAUUAUCAUCAUUGUCACAUUCUCACCUUUUUUCAUCAUUGUCAGUAGCAGUCGCAUCAACCCAGUGUCCUGACUUUCAAGACAACCAUGAAAACGCCCCAACUGCUGCUAAAUUACCAGCAACAAGGAUCUGGAAUUUUCUUGACAAGAGCAGUGCCUAUCCUGAGGCAAUCGUAUUUCUCCUUGACUUCUCUCCAGUAUCAGCUUGUUGCUUGACACCACUGCACAGCCAACUGUAUAAUGUGGAUCCAAUGAUAAAAGGACAAAGGAUCGUAAUGGGUACAGUGCAAGAGGAAGUCUUGGGACAAGCAAGAAGAUAGACAGGAAGCUGUUGCCCUAAUCCAGGUAUGAGAUCCUGGUAGUGAAGUUGAACAGUGAUAGUAAGGGGAGGAUUCUAGAGAUAAGCUAUAGUCAGUGAGAGUGAGAGGGAAUCGCUGAUAUUCCAAAGUUUGUGACUUGAGCCUAACAAUAGAGAAUAACAGUAGAGGAACAGGACUAGAGAGAAUUUAGGAACGUUAUAUGUGGAGACAUUCUUUAAGCGAUAUCCAGUUGGAAGUUGGAAUACUGUUUUGGAGCUCACAGCAACGUGUGACUCUGGUCCCCCAGUGUCUAUAUGUGCAGAGGAUGGUUUUGUAUCCAAAUAGAGAUCUGAGCUCAAGGUAAUUCUUAAUAUACAAAAUAUAGGGCUCAGGCCACCAUGUUACAGGUCAAGACUCAUCUUCGUGAUUGCCAAACUUAGAGUUCUGUAUUUGUUUUCUUUUGCCACAUAUUACUCCAAAACUUAGAAGCUUAAGCAUUUGCAAUCUCACAAUUUCUGUGGGUCAGGAAUCCAGGUGGAGCUUAGCUGUUUGUCUCUAACUAAGAAUCUCUCAAAAGGGUAUAGUCAGGGUGUGAGAUAGGGCUGCAGUCAUCUCAAGAGUAAUCUUGGAGAGGAUCUAUUUCCAGGCUUCCUCAUGUGGCUGUUGGCAGGCUCAUGUCCUCACUGACUGUUUGCCAGUGACAUCAGCUCCUUACCAUUUGGACCUCUCCCUUG